UUUACCAUAGACUGUAUAUAAUGGUAUUUACGCAGCUAAUCAACGUCAGGUGUCCUGAUGUGCAGCCACCGUUGUUCUCAUAGAUAUGAAUGAGUAGAUAGGACAAGCCCCUUUGAGCUGCAUGCUACUGCGAGGCUAAGCUAGUGGGGGCAAAGUUUCAGUGCAUUCUGUUGAUGUAGACGGCGUGAAAACGGAAACAACAAGUAUGCCGGCUCACUGUGCUGCAUACAAUUACACACUGCGUCGUACGAUUGAGACAAGGAAACUUGGAAUGACUUUUCAUAGGUUUCCCAGAGACUAUGGGUUGAGGAGGAAUUGGAAGUUUGUCGGCUUAGACCUGGUGUCAUUCCAUCAGUGUUUAACUUCCCGGCUCAUCUUUGAAGAGUAUGUGCCAGAAAGACCACGACCAAGCAGCCUUGAGAUCUUAGACAGCGUCUCCCUCAGACCAAAGAACUACAGACUCUUCACAACCUACUCAAACUCUUGGUACAGAACCUCACCACACGGGUCAAGAAGGUUUCCAUCUCAUUUCUACUCUGAAGUUCACCUUCUCCUGCUCAAACUGCUGACAAAUGUUUCUGCUGCUCUAAAGUCUGGUCUCCAGAACUUCCUAAAAACUCUCAAAGUCUCUUCUGCUGCAGGUUGCUUUGUAGAACUGUUCCAGAAAACCUCACUAAACCACAUGGAGGAGCCUCAAGAUAGUCGUCCAAAUGAAACCAUACAAAAACCAAACUAGCACAACCCAAACGCUAAAGUCUCCUGCAGCCUACCAGAGAACCUCUGAGAACAGAGAAUCAGGACAGGAACUCUUACCUUCUGGACAACCAGCGUUGGUUCUCAAACAAGAAUACAGAAUGUGUCAGACCAAAAACCUCUAAAGACUCACUACAGCCAAGAUAAAGACACAACUCAGCUGCAGCAAAUCCACUAAUCACUGCACACAUUAGCACCAUGUGCUAACUGUG
ensembl:lncRNA